CCAUCCCAGUUCGGAUUGCAGUCUGAAGCUCGAGUGCAUGAAGCUGGAAUCGCUAGUAAUCGCAAAUCAGAAUGUUGCGGUGAAUACGUUCCCGGGUCUUGUACACACCGCCCGUCACACCAUGGGAGUUGGAAAUGCCCGAAGUCAGUGACCCCAAACCAAAAGGAGGGAGCUGCCGAAGGCAGGUUCGAUGACUGGGGUGAAGUCGUAACAAGGUAUC
rnacentral:rRNA from 1 species